UUCCCAGAGGGAACCUCAGACUCGCGCAUGCGUAAGAAGAAGGAGUCUCGGGACACGCUCCGAAAGAACCACAGUUCCCAGACUGCAGUGCGAGGUACCAUCCGAAAGGAUUCCGUGAGCUUGAUCUUGCUUUUACUUUCACGGACGCUGAGUUUCAACGAAUUUUUCAAGACCUGCCAAGCUCCUUCAUGAGAUGGCAGAAUUCCUUGGAGUUAUCCAUCAGUUUGGCGGAGUAAUUGGUUGAUCUGAUAAUCUUAAUACAGAUCAGAGGGAAAGACUCAGUGCAGUGUUGGAUGGACAAAAUAAAACAGGAAGACGUCAGCUCAUGCUUCUGCCUCAUGUCGAUUGGUAUGACUCGCUUGCUCUCAUCCCUCCACGAGGGGAAGCCAGCAAAAUCCCAAAUCAACAUCAAAUGGAUUGAAGCCUAGCACUUCCUGGUGGCAGAGGUCUGGAAACUUAGCCACUGUAUGACCAAGUAGAAUAGAACAGAAUGGAAUCAGAUUAAUUAUCACUGGCUUAAAGACUAUAAGUUACAAAACUACUAUAAGGUACAAAAAUAAAUAAAUACUGCAAAAUAAAGAAAUCAUGAAGGCGUAUUCAUAGGUGUGUGGACCGAUUUGGAAACCUUAAGGUGGAGAGGAAGAAACUGGUUCUGAAUCAUUGAGUGUGAGUCUUCAGGCUCCUGUACUUUCUCCCAGAUAGUAGUAAUGAGAAGGGGACAUGUCUGGAAUAGUGAGGGUCUUUAGUGAUGGAUGCCACUUUCUUUGAUUGAUUCUUUAUUUAUUUAUUUAUUUAUUGAGAAUUUAUUUAUUUCAUUUGAUGAAUCGGCCCUUCAAGCUGUGCCGUGCAGCAACUCACUUCAUCAACCAGGAGAUAAUUUACAAUGACCAAUUAACCUACCGAGUGGUGAGGCUCUGGACUCAAGGAGGAAACUGGAGCACCAGCAGGAUACCCAAGCGGGCACGGGAAAAACGUAAAUCUCCUUCCAGGCAGUGGUUGGAAUUGACCCCAGGUCACUGUACUGUAAAGCAUUGCGCUAACCACUAUGGUACCGUACCACCCGUGAUGGAGCUGGCGAAGUCUGUAACGCUUGGCACAUUUUGUGGUGCUGUGAAUUGGAGCCUCCAUACCAGCCUGUGAUGCAACCAGUGUCUUCUCCAUAUUCUUUCCACAGUACAUUUGUAGAAUUGUCAGAAUCACUAUCAGAAUCAGGUUUAAUAUCACCAGCAUACAUGAAACCUGUUAACUUAGCAGCAGCAGUACACUGCAAUACAUGAUAAAUAUAGAAAUAUCAAUCAAUCAAUUACAGUAAGUAUAUAUAUGUAUAUUAAAUUAAAAAUAUUGCAAAAACAGAAAUAAUUUUGUAUAAGUGAAGUAUUGUU